AGAGUGUGGCGCAUGCCACGCUUUUGAAAGAUGGUUUCGGCUAUCGCUUACAGAUGGGCCCGCGGUGCAUUAGCUAGUUGGUAGGGUAAUGGCCUACCAAGGCAACGAUGCAUAGCCGACCUGAGAGGGUGAUCGGCCACACUGGGACUGAGACACGGCCCAGACUCCUACGGGAGGCAGCAGUAGGGAAUCUUCCGCAAUGGACGAAAGUCUGACGGAGCAACGCCGCGUGUAUGAAGAAGGUUUUCGGAUCGUAAAGUACUGUUGUUAGAGAAGAACAAGGAUAAGAGUAACUGCUUGUCCCUUGACGGUAUCUAACCAGAAAGCCACGGCUAACUACGUGCCAGCAGCCGCGGUAAUACGUAGGUGGCAAGCGUUGUCCGGAUUUAUUGGGCGUAAAGCGCGCGCAGGCGGUCUUUUAAGUCUGAUGUGAAAGCCCCCGGCUUAACCGGGGAGGGUCAUUGGAAACUGGAAGACUGGAGUGCAGAAGAGGAGAGUGGAAUUCCACGUGUAGCGGUGAAAUGCGUAGAUAUGUGGAGGAACACCAGUGGCGAAGGCGACUCUCUGGUCUGUAACUGACGCUGAGGCGCGAAAGCGUGGGGAGCAAACAGGAUU
rnacentral:rRNA from 1 species